GCAGCGGGGGCUUCGGCCUGCCGGCGAGUGGCGAACGGGUGAGUAAUGCAUCGGAACGUGCCCAUGUCGUGGGGGAUAACGUAUCGAAAGGUACGCUAAUACCGCAUACGUCCUGAGGGAGAAAGCGGGGGAUCGCAAGACCUCGCGCGAUUGGAGCGGCCGAUGUCGGAUUAGCUAGUAGGUGAGGUAAAGGCUCACCUAGGCGACGAUCCGUAGCGGGUCUGAGAGGAUGAUCCGCCACACUGGGACUGAGACACGGCCCAGACUCCUACGGGAGGCAGCAGUGGGGAAUUUUGGACAAUGGGGGCAACCCUGAUCCAGCCAUGCCGCGUGAGUGAAGAAGGCCUUCGGGUUGUAAAGCUCUUUCGGCCGGGAAGAAAUCGUGUUCUCUAACAUAGGACAUGGAUGACGGUACCGGACUAAGAAGCACCGGCUAACUACGUGCCAGCAGCCGCGGUAAUACGUAGGGUGCGAGCGUUAAUCGGAAUUACUGGGCGUAAAGCGUGCGCAGGCGGUUUUGUAAGACAGAUGUGAAAUCCCCGGGCUUAACCUGGGAACUGCGUUUGUGACUGCAAGGCUAGAGUACGGCAGAGGGGGGUGGAAUUCCUGGUGUAGCAGUGAAAUGCGUAGAUAUCAGGAGGAACACCGAUGGCGAAGGCAGCCCCCUGGGCCUKUACUGACGCUCAUGCACGAAAGCGUGGGGAGCAAACAGGAUUARAWACCCUGGUAGUCCACGCCCUAAACGAUGUCGACUAGUCGUUCGGAGCAGC
rnacentral:rRNA from 1 species